rnacentral:lncRNA from 1 species
UUUUCUGAUCCUGUUGACUGAACAAUCAUUUGCCUGGAGAACAUGAGAUGCUUAUUGAUGGGAAGACGGAAAAACAAUGCCAUUAGAAUACUUCAACCAAACAUAUGAAGGGUCAAGAUGGAUACCAAGGUCAAGAAAAGUGUGGUGUGAAUAUCCAGCUUUUUGGUGGAAAUCAGGAAUCUGGAUAUUCUCCCUCUGAGAGAGCAUUAGAGGAUGUGAAGGAAGAGUUGAGAACUUCUGCCUGCAGCCCUUCUGUUCAUGAUGGUCCUCCUCUCUCUAGGGUUCAGCUCUGGCAUUUUCUGUGUUUGAAGCAAGAACUUGAAAUUCACGGUUCAGAUUUUGGUCAAUCUGUAGCUGGAAGCAUGUAAAAUCCUGGGGUUUAUCUUUUUCUUUUGAUACAAAACAAUAAGUUGGCUCCACUUCAUUCAUAACUAGCCUCAGGUUUAAUCAAAAGACUCAAACCUUUUGACAAAACAUGGGCUGGAUACC